UACGAAGGGGGCUAGCGUUGCUCGGAAUCACUGGGCGUAAAGCGCACGUAGGCGGAUUGCUAAGUCAGGGGUGAAAUCCCGAGGCUCAACCUCGGAACUGCCUUUGAUACUGGCGAUCUUGGAGUCCGGGAGAGGUGAGUGGAACUCCGAGUGUAGAGGUGAAAUUCGUAGAUAUUCGGAAGAACACCAGUGGCGAAGGCGGCUCACUGGCCCGGUACUGACGCUCAAGUGCGAAAGCGUGGGGAGCAAACAGG
rnacentral:rRNA from 1 species